UACGGGGGGGGCAAGCGUUGUUCGGAAUUACUGGGCGUAAAGGGCUCGUAGGCGGCCAACUAAGUCGGAUGUGAAAUCCCCAGGCUUAACCUGGGAACUGCAUCCGAUACUGGAUGGCUUGAAUCCGGGAGAGGGAUGCAGAAUUCCAGGUGUAGCGGUGAAAUGCGUAGAUAUCUGGAGGAAUACCGGUGGCGAAAGCGGCAUCCUGGACCGGCAUUGACGCUGAGGAGCGAAAGCUAGGGGAGCAAACGGG
rnacentral:rRNA from 1 species